CAGUAGCCGCGGGAAUACAGAGGGUGCAAGCGUUAAUCGGAAUUACUGGGCGUAAAGCGCGCGUAGGUGGUUUGUUAAGUUGGAUGUGAAAGCCCCGGGCUCAACCUGGGAACUGCAUCCAAAACUGGCAAGCUAGAGUACGGUAGAGGGUGGUGGAAUUUCCUGUGUAGCGGUGAAAUGCGUAGAUAUAGGAAGGAACACCAGUGGCGAAGGCGACCACCUGGACUGAUACUGACACUGAGGUGCGAAAGCGUGGGGAGCAAACAGGAUUAGAUACCCCCUUAGUCCCUGUCUCUUAUAC
rnacentral:rRNA from 1 species